rnacentral:rRNA from 1 species
UAGCUCAUUCCAGAUAAAAAUUAAUAUGUUUUCACCCAUUUCUUGUAUGAAGACAAAGCUUAAAGUCGAUAUCAAGCUCACACCUAUGCUAGGAUGAGUAUCACCACCAUAUUAACUCCAUCGGUUAGCUACAAUUACCGAUAUAGGAGCCAUUUUCAUCUAUAAAGUAAAGGAAAGGAACUCGGCAAAAAACUGCUCCGCCUGUUUAUCAAAAACAUGGCUCCCUGAUUUUAAAAGAUGGGGAGUCUGACCUGCCCAGUGAAAUAUUUAACGGCCGCGGUACUCUGACCGUGCAAAGGUAGCGUAAUCAUUUGCCUUAUAAUUGAAGGCUAGUAUGAAUGGUUACACGUGAGCAAUACUGUCUCUUCUUUAUUCCCUAAAAAUUAACCUUUAGGUUAAAAGGCCUAAAUUCUAUUAAAGGACAAGAAGACCCUGUCGAGCUUAAAAGACACGAAUAGAGGUUGAUAUUUUAAAAAAUAAAUGUCCUAUGCAGCUUUUUAGUUGGGGCGACUAAGGAACAAAUAAAGCUUCUUUCCACCUUAAUUUACCUAUUAGUUUAGAUCCAGCAUAAUGUUGAUCAGGAAAAUUAGCUACCGCAGGGAUAACAGCAUAAUCUCUCUUGAGAGACCAAAUCGAAAGGGGGGGUUGUGACCUCGAUGUUGGACUAGAAUACCCAAGAGAUGCAGACGUCUCUAAAGGUUGGUCUGUUCGACCAUUAAAAU